AUUGAACGCUGGCGGCAGGCUUAACACAUGCAAGUCGAGCGGAGAUGAGGUGCUUGCACCUUAUCUUAGCGGCGGACGGGUGAGUAAUGCUUAGGAAUCUGCCUAUUAGUGGGGGACAACAUUCCGAAAGGAAUGCUAAUACCGCAUACGUCCUACGGGAGAAAGCAGGGGAUCUUCGGACCUUGCGCUAAUAGAUGAGCCUAAGUCGUAUUAGCUAGUUGGUGGGGUAAAGGCCUACCAAGGCGACGAUCUGUAGCGGGUCUGAGAGGAUGAUCCGCACGCUGGGACUGAGAAACGGCCCAGACUCCUACGGGAGGCAGAAGUGGGGAAUAUUGGACAAUGGGGGAAACCCUGAUCCAGCCAUUCCGCGUGUGUGAAGAAGGCCUUAUGGUUGUAAAGCACUUUAAGCGAGGAGGAGGCUACUGAGACUAAUACUCUUGGAUAGUGGACGUUACUCGCAGAAUAAGCACCGGCUAACUCUGUGCCAGCAGCCGCAGUAA
rnacentral:rRNA from 1 species